rnacentral:lncRNA from 1 species
AGCGGCCGCUCCGACCCGGCCUCUGGCGCUGGCUCUCCGCCCGCUGGGCAUCCGCUCCCCGCGCGGCACGUGCGGCGGCCCCUGCGCGCCUGGCUCAGCCCUGGCGCCGCUCCAUUCCGCCAGGCGCGGGCGGGCAGGAGCUCUGGAAAAAAUUAUUCUAAGAGACAAAUUAAAAGAAUAAUCUGUAAUAAGGAGACGUCAACAUUCCAUCUCAGAAAAAAACUGAAAACAUGUAAUACAUACAAAGUCCUGAGAAGAAACCUCGAAGCACAGGAAGGGUCUCAUGUAUAGUAGGCAUGUUGAGAAAACUGAAGAGCCCUGUAAUCCUGAGGAGGGGGCCUAAUCCAAGGAGAGAGAGGCUCCGGGUCCUGUGGACACACACGGGUUGCCUGCUUCACCCCAUCUAGGAGCUGCUUCCUGAAGCCUUCAGGAGGCAGGAAGCUGAAUUUGUUUCUCAGGACAAUCUAAUCACAUCCGGACAGGGAGAAAAACAUUCAUGACCUAGGACAGAUAAAAUAUGUAUAAUUAAAAUUUCAUUGAAAAUUGAGAAAUUUUGGUUGUAUGUAUUUAUAGUGAAUAAAGCUAUGUUAUGAUUUA